rnacentral:tRNA from 1 species
GCGAGGGUGGCGGAACUGGCAGACGCACUGGAUUUAGGAUCCAGCGCCUUAGGGCGUGGGAGUUCGAAUCUCCCCUCUCGCACCA